AACGAACGCUGGCGGCAGGCCUAACACAUGCAAGUCGAGCGCACCUUCGGGUGAGCGGCGGACGGGUUAGUAACGCGUGGGAACGUACCCUUUUCUACGGAAUAGCCUUUGGAAACGAAGAGUAAUACCGUAUACGCCCUUUGGGGGAAAGAUUUAUCGGAGAAGGAUCGGCCCGCGUUAGAUUAGAUAGUUGGUGGGGUAACGGCCUACCAAGUCUACGAUCUAUAGCUGGUUUUAGAGGAUGAUCAGCAACACUGGGACUGAGACACGGCCCAGACUCCUACGGGAGGCAGCAGUGGGGAAUCUUAGACAAUGGGCGCAAGCCUGAUCUAGCCAUGCCGCGUGAGUGAUGAAGGCCUUAGGGUCGUAAAGCUCUUUCGCCUGUGAUGAUAAUGACAGUAGCAGGUAAAGAAACCCCGGCUAACUCCGUGCCAGCAGCCGCGGUAAUACGGAGGGGGUUAGCGUUGUUCGGAAUUACUGGGCGUAAAGCGCACGUAGGCGGAUUGGAAAGUUGGGGGUGAAAUCCCGGGGCUCAACCCCGGAACUGCCUCCAAAACUAUCAGUCUAGAGUUCGAGAGAGGUGAGUGGAAUUCCAAGUGUAGAGGUGAAAUUCGUAGAUAUUUGGAGGAACACCAGUGGCGAAGGCGGCUCACUGGCU
rnacentral:rRNA from 1 species